GCACAAAUUAUGCUAGGAAUGGUGCAACCACCUCAAGCGGUAUGCUUUCGACCUUUUUUUCCGAUUUGAGUUUCAGUUUCACAAUCGUCUUUUGGUAGAAAUUCGUUCAUUGAGGGUGGAAAAGUGUUUGCUUCUAGGUUCCAAAAGUUCAGCCAAUUGUACCGCAGAACACUCAGGAUCAAGCAGGUGUAUUUGCGUCAAUGAUGUAGUAGUGCACAUAAGUCCACGCAAUUUGGCAGGCAUUAUUCUAUGAUCAAAUUGAUUGGCUUCAUUGAAGUUUUGUAGAGGUUGAUAAUUAAAUAGGAGUG
rnacentral:lncRNA from 1 species